GUUCCCAGUUUAACUUCUCCUAACCUUUCUAAGGGAGAGGUGCCUGCACUGAUGUUCAGGGACUUUGUUCUCCUUACCCGUGAACAUCAAUCAUCAGGACAAGAUCUUUGUGUGCUAACUUUACCUCUGUGGCUUGUGUUUUCUAGGUUCACGGCCCUUCCACAGUACCAGUGCCAACCUGACCGAGAGGUACGAGGAGACAUUUAGUUUCUUACUCCCUUUCCCAGAGUGAAGUGAAGAUGAUACAAACUAUCUUACCACGUUUCAUUAAGUACUCUUAAGUUUUUGUUUUUUUGUUUUUUUUUUUUUUUUUUGAGCUUCCCCACAUUCUGACUUCUGAAGUGGUAAAGUUGAAAUCAUUAGAAAGUGUUUUACAGUGUAGGCUUUAUCUUUGAACAUUAGCCUCAAUCACUUUAUCCUCUUAUCCUUUAUAUUGUCUAUGAUAAAAGAUGAUCGUUUGCUUUUAUUCAUGUAAAAUAUAUUUAACAUAUAUUUAAAUGUACUUGGCUUGUAGAGAUUUUCAGUUUUUAAUAAAUUUAAUACUUUGUUUUAUUGAGUUAUGCAUAUAUAUAUAUAUAUAUACAUACGUACAUACAUACACACACAUGUGUUGUGUGUAUAGGCAAGCUUUUGCAAUCUUUUUUUUGCAAGCUUUUGUCUUCUUAGUCACUUUAACCUUUAAAGCUGCGGGUUGGUGGUAUAACUCUGUGGCUGUCCUCUGGGUUCCAUCCCCAUUCCAAGAAGAAAAGCUGUGUGUAGCAUAUACCUCUGCACACUAGAACUGAGGCUGUCCUUUUCCUCCUCUCUUCCUCUCCUCCUUUCCUAAUACUGGGGAGCAACCCAGGGAUUUGUGCAUGCUAGGUAAGUGUUCCCUCACUGAGCUUCAUUCCACCUUGAACGCAUCUUUCACUUGACAACAUGCACAGAAUCCCCAUUGACUCGUCAUUUAUGGUUCUUCGUUUGUGUUUAUGAAAUUAAACGUUGUGAUUUAGUAUUGCUGGAUUUCUGAUCAUUUUGAUUAGGUUGCCCGCUGUUUCACAAAGGCUUUAGUUUUGAUUGUAACCUGCAGUCUUUCCAAUGAGUGUUUCUCUUUAUGGCGCUUUCAGAUCUUUACCUUUCUUCCUCAGGAGCAGUGGUUUUUAUGCCAUUUCUCUUAAAAAUGGACAUGUCUGUUUUGUAACCACCACAUAUAUAAAUAAGGCUGUAAUAGGGUCCUUUUAUGGUUCUGCUUAUGAAUGUGCUCUCAGAGGCUGAAACUGCAGCCCUGUGGGACGGUGCUAAUACCAGGCAAAUCGCUUAGAUGGGUUCUUUGUCCUUACAUUAUUUAUUUAGAUCCCAGUAUGAUUUAAGAAAUCCCACUAUUAUGAAUCUCCUAAAAUUAAAACAUACCCAGAUUAGAUGGACUUAAAUUUCAUUCAGACUUCUUGACAAGUAGAUCAGUAAACUUGGAUCUCUAAAACAUCUGUCCACAUUCUGCCUGAAGUGUGCUUACUCUUCACCCCAAAGUUAUACAUAGCUUUCUGGACGGGAUCACAGUUUGUCAGUAGGCCUGAAGACUAGAAAAGAUGUGUGUCUUCUGCUGUUGAUGGCCCUGUCCGUGUCCUAAGAUCUUGUUUUGCCUGCUUUCUCAGCACAUAUUCCGUCAUCCAUUUGUGUGUAUGGAUGUCCUUUCAAGCAAAGAAGUCAGUAUACCCAGUGCUUUUUUAUAUUUAACUUUAGAUUUGUUUUCAUAGUAUAUGAGACCAUUCAGUAGCCACUACCUGUUUCUUACUCAGUCCUGUUUAACAUUUCUAGUCCUGAAAAACAUAAUCUUUUUUUUUUCAGUAUAACAGAAGAAAACUGUAACUUCCUGCCUCCAAGUCCCUCAAAAAAGAAUUUUGAAGAAAAGAGUGGGACUAAGGUUAGUCGCACCUUCAGCUACAUCAGGAAUAAAAUGUCCAGCAGCAAGAAGAGCAAAGUAAGUACCUUCUGGAAUGAGCUCUUGUCACCACCUGCCUAUAGACAACAGGGAACGAGUGGGCUGAACUUCAGAGCUGCUUAGCGGCAGCAACGCAAGCCGUGGCCAGAGUUACCACUGUGUCCCACAUGCCAGAAGCUGCCCUGGCUUCAGCUUAGUGCAGCCUUUCAGGAACCCUGCUGCUGUCGGCCUGCUUCCUUAGGGCAUGCCUAAGGAACCCAUCUCUCUCACCUCACCCCGCACACUGAGCCACAAGGCAGAAACUAUUAAAUCAGGUUUUAAAAUCCAAAAGAAGGACUCUAAGAUCAAAAGAAAUAUUUAUUGGAAUAGAGGGAAGAAAAGUAUGCUUCAGAAAAAUUACAAGAACUUUUAAGACUUUCUUAGAUUGAUUUCUACUUAGGAGGAUUGGUUUUGUAUCCUUUUUAGUGCUUAAGAAGUUAAAUUAAGACACUUAUACCUGGGGCUGAAGAGAUGGCUCAGCACUGGCAGUUCUUCCACAGGACCUGGGUUCAUCCCAGUGCCUAGAUGAUGGCUCACAAACACACUUCAGUUCAAUUUCACAGAUCCAGUUGUAGUUGUUUGUUCAUUACAAGAUUCUAUAAAAUAAAUUAAGGAAUAAAUCGAUAAUAACCCCACAUAUAUUCUCAAUACUUUGAUUUACAUAUGUUUAAUACUUUUGUGGUUGUCCUAAAGAGAAAGAAAUUAACUUUUUUAUACUGAUUCCUGAUCCUAAAUGAGAACUAUUUUCAUUUCAAACAAGUGAGGGUAACACUGUCUCCUCCCUUGACCCGCAGUCGUUUACUCACCUGUAACCCUCUGUCUGCCUACGCAAAGAAAUAAGCACACAAAAGCAAUACCCAUGCCCACAAGUAGUUGGCCAACACAAAAUGAGCAAAUGAGCUCAGUGGUAUUUUUAUUUCAUUUUGGUUUGUUUAUUUUGCCUUUUUUUUUUUUUUUUUUUUUUGGUCUUAACUAUUCUUUUGCAAAAACAAAAAUUGUCUUGACUUUCAUUUUUGUGUUUUUAAAGGGUUGCUUUGUGUUGGUAGUAUUUUUUUGUUUGUUUGUUUUUUGUUAUUUGUUUUUCUAAUAGAAGAUGUAGAGAAGUAGGGAGAUCCUGGGAAGAAUUAGGAAAGAGGUAGGGAAAAAAGAUCAAAAUAUAUUAAUUUUUUUCAAUUU
rnacentral:lncRNA from 1 species